UGGGGAAUAUUGGGCAAUGGGGGCAACCCUGACCCAGCGACGCCGCGUGGGGGAAGACGGCCUUCGGGUUGUAAACCCCUUUUGUACGGGAAGAAGGAAGUGACGGCACUGUACGAAUAAGUCCCGGCUAACUACGUGCCAGCAGCCGCGGUAAUACGUAGGGGACGAGCGUUGUCCGGAAUUACUGGGCGUAAAGGGCGCGCAGGCUGUGCUGCAAGUCAGCUGUUAAAUGUCUGGGCUUAACCCGGGCAUGCGGUUGAGACUGCGGUGCUGGAGUGCUGUAGAGGCAAGUGGUAUUCCCAGUGUAGCGGUGAAAUGCGUAGAUAUUGGGAAGAACACCGGUGGCGAAAGCGACUUGCUGGGCAGCAACUGACGCUGAGGCGCGAAAGCC
rnacentral:rRNA from 1 species